rnacentral:misc_RNA from 1 species
AAAACAAAAAAUUUUAACCUGUAAAAAAACACUUCCAAAAUGAAUUUCAAUCACAAUCCCCAACCUCCAAUAAAUCAACACAACUCAAUUUUUCACAAUUCACAAUAUUUCAAAACAAUUAAAUCAACUCAUUACAUUUAAUUUAAAAUAUUUACUUUACAUCCACAAGUUUAAUUUACAACAUAAAAUCCAAAAAUAAUACUAUUACAAAUUUACUAUACAACUGCUCAAGACCAAUUACAAAA